rnacentral:lncRNA from 1 species
UAUACUUAAGGGAUCUUAUGACGCUUCGCAAAUUCUUCGUCUAAAAAACAAGCAGAUGCUCCUGAAUCUAAUAAUGCUAAGGUUCUCAGUUUCUGAGGGCCAAUAAGCAAAAGGAUUGUAAAGCAAAGGGCAGGUUGAGCGGAAAGAAAGGAACCUGGUUGUUGUUGUGAUAUUUCACUGUCUAGUCGCACAAUUCCUAUUGUGGCUGGGCAUCCUCAUUUUCCUCAACAAACGUGCCC